rnacentral:misc_RNA from 1 species
UACGAAGGUCCCGUGCGUUGUUCGGAAUCACUGGGCGUAAAGGGAGCGUAGGCGGUGUGGUUAGUCAGAUGUGAAAUACCGGGGCUCAACCCCGGAACUGCAUCCGAUACUGCCGUGCUUAGAGGAUUGGAGAGGUAGCUGGAAUUCUUGGUGUAGCAGUGAAAUGCGUGGAUAUCAAGAGGAACACUCGUGGCGAAAGCGAGCUACUGGACAACUCCUGACGCUGAGGCUCGAAGGCCAGGGUAGCGAAAGGG